rnacentral:lncRNA from 1 species
AAGACUCAUGUUAAGAAGACUCCCAACAUGAGUCUUCUCUCAUUUUUUUUGAGCCUUUUUUUUCAAAUUCGCACGAAUUUUCUUUGAGCUUCUUUCUAGUGGCUGGGUCGGCCAAAUGGAUCGUGCCUAGUUCAAAUUUAGGCCUUGCUGGCCAGGAUAUUACAAGCAAAGGGGCCAAUAUGAAAUGAGAGAAGACUAGUAGUGGUGUCUAGUAGUCAAGAAGG